rnacentral:rRNA from 1 species
CUGACGAGCGGCGAACGGGUGAGUAAUGCUUCGGAAUCUACCUUAUGGUGGGGAAUAACUAGCCGAAAGGUUAGCUAAUACCGCAUACGUCCUACGGGAGAAAGCAGGGGAUCGUAAGACCUUGCGCCAAAAGAUGAGCCGAAGUCGGAUUAGCUAGUUGGUAGGGUAACGGCCUACCAAGGCGACGAUCCGUAGCUGGUCUGAGAGGACGACCAGCCACACUGGGACUGAGACACGGCCCAG